rnacentral:rRNA from 1 species
GCUCAACCGGGGAGUGUCAUUGGAAACUGGGAAACUUGAGUGCAGAAGAGGAGAGUGGAAUUCCACGUGUAGCGGUGAAAUGCGUAGAGAUGUGGAGGAACACCAGUGGCGAAGGCGACUCUCUGGUCUGUAACUGACGCUGAGGAGCGAAAGCGUGGUGAGCGAACAGGAUUAGAUACCCUGGUAGUCCACGCCGUAAACGAUGAGUGCUAAGUGUUAGGGGGUUUCUGCCCCUUAGUGCUGCAGCUAACGCAUUAAGCACUCCGCCUGGGGAGUACGGUCGCAAGACUGAAACUCAAAGGAAUUGACGGGGGCCCGCACAAGCGGUGGAGCAUGUGGUUUAAUUCGAAGCAACGCGAAGAACCUUACCAGGUCUUGACAUCCUCUGACAACCCUAGAGAUAGGGCUUUCCCUUCGGGGACAGAGUGACAGGUGGUGCAUGGUUGUCGUCAGCUCGUGUCGUGAGACGUUGGGUUAAGUCCCGCAACGAGCGCAACCCUUGAUCUUAGUUGCCAGCAUUCAGUUGGGCACUCUAAGGUGACUGCCGGUGACAAACCGGAGGAAGGUGGGGAUGACGUCAAAUCAUCAUGCCCCUUAUGACCUGGGCUACACACGUGCUACAAUGGACAGAACAAAG